GACGAACGCUGGCGGCGUGCUUAACACAUGCAAGUCGAACGGAAAGGCCCUGCUUUUGUGGGGUGCUCGAGUGGCGAACGGGUGAGUAACACGUGAGUAACCUUCCCUUGACUUUGGGAUAACUUCAGGAAACUGGGGCUAAUACCGGAUAGGAGCUCCUGCUGCAUGGUUGGGGUUGGAAAGUUUCGGCGGUUGGGGAUGGACUCGCGGCUUAUCAGCUUGUUGGUGGGGUAGUGGCUUACCAAGGCUUUGACGGGUAGCCGGCCUGAGAGGGUGACCGGCCGCAUUGGGACUGAGAUACGGCCCAGACUCCUACGGGAGGCAGCAGUGGGGAAUAUUGCACAAUGGGCGGAAGCCUGAUGCAGCAACGCCGCGUGCGGGAUGACGGCCUUCGGGUUGUAAACCGCUUUCGCCUGUGACGAAGCGUGAGUGACGGUAAUGGGUAAAGAAGCACCGGCUAACUACGUG
rnacentral:rRNA from 1 species